UACAGAGGUCUCAAGCGUUGUUCGGAUUCAUUGGGCGUAAAGGGUGUGUAGGUGGCGCGCUAAGUCGGGUGUGAAAUCCCCGGGCUCAACCCGGGAACUGCGUCCGAUACUGGAAGGCUUGAAUCCGGGAGAGGGAUGCGGAAUUCCAGGUGUAGCGGUGAAAUGCGUAGAUAUCUGGAGGAACACCGGUGGCGAAGGCGGCAUCCUGGACCGGCAUUGACGCUGAGGCGCGAAAGCCAGGGGAGCAAACGGG
rnacentral:rRNA from 1 species